rnacentral:rRNA from 1 species
AGAGCGAACGCUGGCGGCAGGCCUAAUACAUGCAAGUCGAGCGGCCACUUCGGUGGCAGCGGCGGACGGGUGAGUAACGCGUGGGAAUGUGCCCUUUGGUACGGAACAACUGAGGGAAACUUCAGCUAAUACCGUAUGUGCCCUUCGGGGGAAAGAUUUAUUGCCAUUGGAGCAGCCCGCGUUGGAUUAGCUAGUUGGUGGGUAAAGCCCACCAAGGCACGAUCCAUAGCUGGUCUGAGAGGAUGAUCAGCCACACUGGGACUGAGACACGGCCCAGACUCCUACGGGAGGCAGCAGUGGGGAAUAGUUGGACAAGUGGGACGAAAGGCCUAGAUCCAGCAAUCGCCGCGUGAGUGAUAGAAGGUCCGUUAGGUUGUAAAGCUUACGUUUUACCGGAUGAGUGAUGAC